GCUGUGAAUCGUGGAAAAUCACUUUACGAAAAAUUGCAUUUGUGUUCCCUUUGAGCAUUUUGUCUUUGCAUAUAUUUGCAUACCAUUACAUAAUUAAAGCCAAUGUUUUCCGCCAGCUUGUAACAGGACCAUAACCACCAUACACAUUUAGGGGCUUGGAUAUUUGGUUACACAAGAAAAAGAUUGCACAGACUCCUAAAGGUGUGUUCACUUUAUGUGCAUUUUAACAUUUGUUUCCUUUCUCAUGCUAAGAUGGAGGCUCGAAGAAGGACAGAAUUCGACUGGCCAAAGAAAGAAGAGAGGAGAAAAAUAAGAGCCAAGCUGUGCGGGAGCAAGCUCUCUUGGAAAAGGAGCAGCGCGCACAGCAGCAGUAUGAACGCUCGCUGGUGGAGCGAGGGAGGCGUCUGGAGGAGCAGCGGCAAAAGGAGAUGCUCCGUCGUUCCGCCGUGGAGGAGAAAAGGAAGCAGUGCAUGGAGGAGGAAAAGGUCAGAGGUUACAGCCAAACUUUAUUUUCUUUGGGGUAUGCACUUAUAGGACAGAUAUGAAGCAUUUUUCUCAUAUCUGUGAAUUCUUUUAUUUUUGGAUUUGUUUUGUGUAAAAUUAUUAUAAAAUUAUGUUUUUUUUAUUAUGCAUAGUUUAUUUUAUUUUCCCAGCGUGCUUAAUGCUUGAUGUGGUGUGUGUAAUUUGUAGCUAUUAAAAUACUUAAACAUACAGUUUUUGGCGUCAAAACAAAUGCAGCAGAUAGGGGGAAAUAUUAAUAAUAUGCAAUACUUGUGAAAGUUUGAGGUCAGUAAGAUUUUCCUUUUCUUUCUUUUUUUUAUUUUUUAUUUAAAGAAAUUAAAACACAUUGUAUAGAUAUAUUAACAUAAUACAAUUAAUACAUUUAUUUAGCAAGGUUGCAUAAAGCUGAUCAAAAGGCAGACAUUUGUCUUUACAAAUUUUACAGUUUCUCUUCAUCAUAACCUUCUAUUUACCUAAGAUGCCUGAAUUGCAGUUUACAAAAUUUAAAAAUAAGUUAAGCUGUUUUUAACAUUGAUAAUAAUAAGAAAUGUUUCUUGAGCUGCAGAUCAGCAUAUUAGAAUUAUUUCUGAAGCAUCAUGUGACACUGAAGACUGGAGUAAUGAUGAUGAAAAUUCAGCUUUGCCAUAACAGGAAUAAAUGACAAUUUUAAAUAUAUUAAAAUAAAAAAGAGUUAAUUUAAUAAUUUUACACAAUAUUCUGUUUUUACUGUAUUUAAUAUGUAAUAAAAGCCACCUUGUUGAGCAUAGGAUACUUAUUUAAAAAAAAAAAAAAAAAAAAACGAGAUAAUCUCUUACUGGCCCAAACUUUUGAACGGCAUUUUAUAUUGCUAGUAUUUCAUUAUAUUAUAAUCUGUAUCUAUGCUAAACAUUGACCCUUUUGAUCUAAAGACAACAACAAACACUCAACCAAUAGUGUGAGUUUGGGGCAGGACUACCUUUUUGUCCAAACAAUGGAAGAUCGAGGGAACAUUUGAGAAAUCGGUUUGGAAACAGUUAUUAUCUUUGCAUUUUUGCUAAUAGCACAAAAAUUGCACACAUCAUCUUUAAGCCAGAUUUUAUUUUUUGAGGUGUAGGAAAUCAUUCCACUAUUUUUCAUAUGGUAAUAUGAAAGCCAAUACAUUGUAGUCAAACAUCUUGCAUUGGUGGAAAGAAACAGAUCUGAGUUAAAAAUAUGAA